AUUGAACGCUGGCGGCAUGCCUUACACAUGCAAGUCGAACGGUAACAGGUCUUCGGACGCUGAUGAGUGGCGAACGGGUGAGUAAUACAUCGGAACGUGCCCAGUCGUGGGGGAUAACUACUCGAAAGAGUAGCUAAUACCGCAUACGAUCUGAGGAUGAAAGCGGGGGACCUUCGGGCCUCGCGCGAUUGGAGCGGCCGAUGGCAGAUUAGGUAGUUGGUGGGAUAAAAGCUUACCAAGCCGACGAUCUGUAGCUGGUCUGAGAGGACGACCAGCCACACUGGGACUGAGACACGGCCCAGACUCCUACGGGAGGCAGCAGUGGGGAAUUUUGGACAAUGGGCGAAAGCCUGAUCCAGCAAUGCCGCGUGCAGGAUGAAGGCCUUCGGGUUGUAAACUGCUUUUGUACGGAACGAAAAAGCUUCUCCUAAUACGAGAGGCCCAUGACGGUACCGUAAGAAUAAGCACCGGCUAACUACGUGCCAGCCGCCGCUGUAACAC
rnacentral:rRNA from 1 species